rnacentral:rRNA from 1 species
GUGAACGCUGGCGGUAGGCCUAACACAUGCAAGUCGAACGGCAGCACAGUAAGAGCUUGCUCUUACGGGUGGCGAGUGGCGGACGGGUGAGGAAUACAUCGGAAUCUACUUUUUCGUGGGGGAUAACGUAGGGAAACUUACGCUAAUACCGCAUACGACCUACGGGUGAAAGCAGGGGAUCUUCGGACCUUGCGCGAUUGAAUGAGCCGAUGUCGGAUUAGCUAGUUGGCGGGGUAAAGGCCCACCAAGGCGACGAUCCGUAGCUGGUCUGAGAGGAUGAUGACCCACACUGAAACUGAGCCACGGUCCAGACUCCUACGGAGGGCAGAAGUGGGGAAUUUUGGACAAGGGGCGAAAGCCUGACCCAGCCAUACCGGGGGGGUGAAGAAGGCCUUCGGGUUGUAAAGCCCUUUUGUUGGGAAAGAAAAGCAGCAGGUUAAACCCCCGCUGUUCUGACGGUACCCAAAAAAAAAGCACCGGCUAACUUCGG